UACGUAGGGGGCAAGCGUUGUCCGGAAUCAUUGGGCGUAAAGCGCGUGUAGGCGGCCCGGUAAGUCCGCUGUGAAAGUCGGGGGCUCAACCCUCGAAUGCCGGUGGAUACUGUCGGGCUAGAGUGCGGAAGAGGCGAGUGGAAUUCCUGGUGUAGCGGUGAAAUGCGCAGAUAUCAGGAGGAACACCGGUGGCGAAGGCGGGUCUCUGGGCCGUAACUGACGCUGAGGAGCGAAAGCAUGGGGAGCGAACAGG
rnacentral:rRNA from 1 species